UACGGAGGGGGCAAGCGUUAUUCGGAAUUAUUGGGCGUAAAGGGCGCGUAGGCGGCUAGAUGUGUCAAAGGUGAAAUCCCUCGGCUCAACUGAGGAACUGCCUUUGAAACUGUCUGGCUUGAGGCCGGGAGAGGGUAGCGGAAUUCCCAGUGUAGCGGUGAAAUGCGUAGAGAUCAUGAGGAAGACCAGUGGCGAAGGCGGGUCUCUGGACAGUUCCUGACACUGAGGCACGAAGGCCAGGGGAGCAAACGGG
rnacentral:rRNA from 1 species